rnacentral:rRNA from 1 species
GUGGGGAAUCUUCCGCAAUGGACGAAAGUCUGACGGAGCAACGCCGCGUGAGUGAAGAAGGUUUUCGGAUCGUAAAGCUCUUUCGUUAGGGACGAACGUGCUCUUUGUGAAUAAUGAGGAGUAAUGACGGUACCUAAAUAAGAAGCCACGGCUAACUACGUGCCAGCAGCCGCGGUAAUACGUAGGUGGCAAGCGUUGUCCGGAAUUAUUGGGCGUAAAGCGCGCGCAGGCGGGAUAUCAAGUCUGUCUUAAAAGUGCGAGGCUCAACCUCGUGAGGGGACAGAAACUGGUAUUCUUGAGUGUCGGAGAGGAAAGUGGAAUUCCAAGUGUAGCAGUGAAAUGCGUAGAGAUUUGGAAGAACACCAGUGGCGAAGGCGACUUUCUGGACGAUGUCUGACGCUGAGGCGCGAAAGCUAGGGGAGCGAACGGGAUUAGAAACCCUUGUAGUCC